GAAUCUUGGUCAAUGGGGGAAACCCUGAACCAGCAACGCCGCGUGAGGGAUGAAGGCCCUCGGGUCGUAAACCUCUGUCGGGAGGGAAGAAAGGAUCUCUGGCCAAUACCCAGGGGUACUGACGGUACCUUCAAAGGAAGCGCCGGCUAACUCCGUGCCAGCAGCCGCGGUAAUACGGAGGGCGCGAGCGUUGUUCGGAAUCAUUGGGCGUAAAGCGCGUGUAGGCGGCUGGGCAAGUCGGAUGUGAAAGCCCGGGGCUCAACCCCGGAAUUGCAUUCGAAACUGCCUGGCUCGAGUCUCGGAGAGGAGGGCGGAAUUCCCGGUGUAGAGGUGAAAUUCGUAGAUAUCGGGAGGAACACCAGUGGCGAAGGCGGCCCUCUGGACGAUGACUGACGCUGAGAUGCGAAAGCGUGGGGAGCAAACAGG
rnacentral:rRNA from 1 species